UACGAAGGGGGCUAGCGUUGCUCGGAAUCACUGGGCGUAAAGCGCACGUAGGCGGAUUCUUAAGUCAGGGGUGAAAUCCUGGAGCUCAACUCCAGAACUGCCUUUGAUACUGGGAAUCUCGAGUCCGGAAGAGGUGAGUGGAACUGCGAGUGUAGAGGUGAAAUUCGUAGAUAUUCGCAAGAACACCAGUGGCGAAGGCGGCUCACUGGUCCGGUACUGACGCUGAGGUGCGAAAGCGUGGGGAGCAAACAGG
rnacentral:rRNA from 1 species